CGGAUUAAGGAAACCGGCGCACGGGUGCGUAACGCGUAUGCAACUUGCCCUUAUCAGGAGGAUAGCCCGGGGAAACUCGGAUUAAUACUCCAUGAGAUUUUGAUUGGCAUCGAUUAAAAUUGAAAGAUUUAUUGGAUAAGGAUAGGCAUGCGUCAGAUUAGUUAGUUGGUAGUGUAACGGACUACCAAGGCGAUGAUCUGUAGGGGGCCUGAGAGGGUGAACCCCCACACUGGUACUGAGACACGGACCAGACUCCUACGGGAGGCAGCAGUGAGGAAUAUUGGACAAUGGAGGGAACUCUGAUCCAGCCAUCCCGCGUGCAGGAAGACGGCCUUAUGGGUUGUAAACUGCUUUUGUAUGGGGAUAAAUCUACUUACGUGUAGGUAGUUGAAGGUACCAUACGAAUAAGCAUCGGCUAACUCCGUGCCAGCAGCCGCGGUAAUACGGAGGAUGCAAGCGUUAUCCGGAUUCAUUGGGUUUAAAGGGUCCGUAGGCGGGCUGAUAAGUCAGUGGUGAAAUUUUGUCGCUUAACGAUAAAACUGCCAUUGAUACUGUUAGUCUUGAGUGAUAUUGAAGUAGCUGGAAUGUGUAGUGUAGCGGUGAAAUGCAUAGAUAUUACACAGAACACCGAUUGCGAAGGCAGGUUACUAAGUAUUAACUGACGCUGAAGGACGAAAGCGUGGGGAGCGAACAGGAUUAGAUACCCUGGUAGUCCACGCA
rnacentral:rRNA from 1 species